GNAUUAGUGGCGAACGGGUGAGUAACACGUGGGCAAUCUGCCCUGCACUCUGGGACAAGCCCUGGAAACGGGGUCUAAUACCGGAUAUGACCAUCUUGGGCAUCCUUGAUGGUGUAAAGCUCCGGCGGUGCAGGAUGAGCCCGCGGCCUAUCAGCUUGUUGGUGAGGUAAUGGCUCACCAAGGCGACGACGGGUAGCCGGCCUGAGAGGGCGACCGGCCACACUGGGACUGAGACACGGCCCANNCNNANACGGGAGGCAGCAGUGGGGAAUAUUGCACAAUGGGCGAAAGCCUGAUGCAGCGACGCCGCGUGAGGGAUGACGGCCUUCGGGUUGUAAACCUCUUUCAGCAGGGAAGAAGCGAAAGUGACGGUACCUGCAGAAGAAGCGCCGGCUAACUACGUGCCAGCAGCCGCGGUAAUACGUAGGGCGCAAGCGUUGUCCGGAAUUAUUGGGCGUAAAGAGCUCGUAGGCGGCUUGUCACGUCGAUUGUGAAAGCUCGGGGCUUAACCCCGAGUCUGCAGUCGAUACGGGCUAGCUAGAGUGUGGUAGGGGAGAUCGGAAUUCCUGGUGUAGCGGUGAAAUGCGCAGAUAUCAGGAGGAACACCGGUGGCGAAGGCGGAUCUCUGGGCCAUUACUGACGCUGAGGAGCGAAAGCGUGGGGAGCGAACAGGAUUAGAUACCCUGGUAGUCCACGCCGUAAACGGUGGGAACUAGGUGUUGGCGACNUUCCACGUCGUCGGUGCCGCAGCUAACGCAUUAAGUUCCCCGNCUGGGAGUACNGCCGCAAGGCUAAAACUCAAAGGAAUUGACGGGGGCCCGCACAAGCNGCGGAGCAUGUGGCUUAAUUCGACGCNACGCGAAGAA
rnacentral:rRNA from 1 species